rnacentral:rRNA from 1 species
AUUGAACGCUAGCGGCAGGCCUAACACAUGCAAGUCGAACGAUUGGCGGACGGGUGAGUAAUGUCUGGGAAACUGCCCGAUGGAGGGGGAUAACAACUGGAAACGGUAGCUAAUACCGCAUACCAUCGGAUGUGCACAGAUGGGAGUAGCUUGUAGGUGGGGUAAUGGCUCACCUAGGCGACGCUCCCUAGCUGGUCUGAGAGGAUGACCGGCCACACUGGAACUGAGACACGGUCCAGACUCCUAGGGGAGGCAGCAGUGGGAAAUAUUGCACAAUGGGCGCAAGCCUGAUGCGGCCAUGCCGCGUGUAUGAAGAAGGCCUUCGGGUUGUAAAGUACUUUCAGCGAGGAGGCGUUACUCGCAGAAGAAGCACCGGCUAACUCCGUGCCAGCAGCCGCGGUAAUAC